CACAACUGAGUGCCAGCAGCUCUGUGUGACUCCAGCAAGUCCCUUCUCUAGUCUUAGUUUCCCCUUCCAUAAAACUACAGACAUGACCCAGCAGCCAUCUGGCUCAUACUGUUCUAAUGUUCUCCUUUCUGUUUGAGUAAGCUUCUCUGAAAUUAUCUCAUAGUCUCAAAAUCAUCCAAAUUGCUUAUUCUUCCCAGAAUAAACUGAGGGCUCUACUUGGUAUUUUGCUCAAGAUCUGACAUUUUCCCUAGAAAGGGAGCUCACAAUGGAACCUAGAACAUGGGAAGCCAUCCAGGACUGGACCCAGUAGAAAGUAUCCGGCUCCAGCCUUGAAUGCCUUGAGGAUCUGGGCCAGAAGGAGCACUGAGUUCAGGCUCCUUCACAUUCGUAGUGAGUCAGGAAUAUUUCACAUGCAGAAACACGGCUCUGCAAACCAGCAUCCAGUGGGGGUUUGCCAGGGUAUCUAUUUUGCAUGGAGCCAAGUACCAUGCAAACCCUAGUUGAUUGACAGAAAACCCACCAAUGGGCAGCCAUGGAGAGACUACAUCUCAAAUUGGCUUGUCAGUCUGGCUACUCAAAACUCCUCUGGUCAAAGACUCUGCUGCAAGAGUUAUUGGCAAAAAGGAUACCCCAGGUUUGUGAAUUCUCUGUGCCUUGUUUAUUCGCCCUAGACUACUGUGAGACCUUCAGGAAUGCCUCACUCAGAUCCAUGGGCCCCCACCUUUAUGCCUUCAGGAAAUGAUCCUUGAAUUGGAUUUGAUAGCUAAUAAUGAUUGUCACCACAGUUAGUACCCGAUCUGCUUAAAAAUCCUUAAGGAAAAGCAGAACAUCUCCCACUCACGUUGAAGUGGUGAUUAUGGUCUCUCUGUAUCUAGUUCCUCUUUUCUCACGAGGUUGUAUUGAUUGGGGAAAGACAUAAAAGUAAUACUCUAGGUGAACACGUUUCUGACAGAAACACAGCUUCUCCUUUAAGAGUUGCAGACCCCCAUCACCCCCCUGGUGCACUUUCUUCCCAAUCAGCAGGAGGACCUAGCAGAAGCAGAAGGAGCCAGCAAGAGGCAGCACUCCGAACAGAAGUGCCCGCUAAAAGUAAUACUCUAGGUGAACACGUUUCUGACAGAAACACAGCUUCUCCUUUAAGAGUUGCAGACCCCCAUCACCCCCCUGGUGCACUUUCUUCCCAAUCAGCAGGAGGACCUAGCAGAAGCAGAAGGAGCCAGCAAGAGGCAGCACUCCGAACAGAAGUGCCCGCGGGAAGGGGAGAAGAGACAAGAGGUGCCGGCUGCUGCUUCAAAGAGGGGCAGGGCCAUUCCCUUCCUGCCAUCAAAACCAAGCGGGAAGGCUGGGCUGGGUGGAAGGAGCCCCCCCCAGCCCCCCUCCUCUGAGGGGGAAGACGUUGCAGAGGGCUGCCCCUGAUGCCAACCCCCUAGUCCCACACACGCUCCCUGUCAGCGUCAGCUGUAGGGCAGGGGAGAUGCUUUGUCUGCUCUGAUCCAAAGCAAGCUAUCUCCCUCCGCCUCCUGCCCACGCCUGGCUCUGAUGGCAGCAGGAGCUUCGAACCUGGAUGUCAGACAUGUGGGCAAGCAUGCAGCGUCCGUGCCAUGCCCCUUCCCCCAGAUGCUGGCAGGCACGGGAGGGGGGAGCCCAGGCUGCAGAGGAGGCAGUACCAAGCAGAGUCGGCUCUUUCUAGAAUGUCCUUCAGAACAUUUUGGAGUGCUGGCAACUGGGCCAUCGAGUCUGUGGGGGUCGGACUGCUUGUCCCCCAUUGCAUCUCCCAGCAGUCCUCACUGAGAGAGAACACAUUUUGGACCUGCUGUUGUCCAGGCUUUGGCUGGAAUACCCGCUUCUGACCUAGAAGGGCCUUCCUCGAGUCCCGGUCUCAUAACUCUCAG
rnacentral:lncRNA from 1 species